rnacentral:rRNA from 1 species
UGGGGAAUUUUGGGCAAUGGGGGAAACCCUGACCCAGCAACGCCGCGUGAAGGAUGAAGUAUUUCGGUAUGUAAACUUCGAAAGAAUAGGAAGAAUAAAUGACGGUACUAUUUAUAAGGUCCGGCUAACUACGUGCCAGCAGCCGCGGUAAUACGUAGGGACCAAGCGUUGUUCGGAUUUACUGGGCGUAAAGGGCGCGUAGGCGGCAAUUCAAGUCAUCUGUGAAAUCUCCGGGCUUAACUCGGAACGGUCAGAUGAUACUGCUUUGCUAGAGUGCAGAAGGGGCAAUCGGAAUUCUUGGUGUAGCGGUGAAAUGCGUAGAUAUCAAGAGGAACACCUGAGGUGAAGACGGGUUGCUGGGCUGACACUGACGCUGAGGCGCGAAAGCCAGGGGAGCAAACGGGAUUAGAUACCCCCGUAGUCCCUGAGCGGGCUGGCAAGGCGCAU